AUUUGCAAAUAUGAAAUUUCCGAAUGUGGUAUGUGUGGCUGUGUAAUUCAUUCGAAGUUCCAUAGGUUCCAUUAUUACACUAAAUGUUGUAAAGAGAGAAUAUGUAAAUAUUGUUAUAAGUAUCUAGAAAUCUCUGGUCAUGAUAAAAUAUGUAAUAUUUGUUUCAGAGAUGCAGGUAAUAAAGGAUACAAAAAAGCUGUAAUUGUUCCGUGCGCAAAUUGCAAUGAAAAUAAAGCAAACCAUAAUGUUUCUUCAAAAUGCAUACAUUAUUAUUGUAAAAAGUGUACAGAAGAAAAAGUCAAAACUCAUACAAAAUGUAAUCAUUGUUAUGAGUAUUUAAAAGCUCGAACUUUGAAAAGUUUGUUUCUUCAUUAAAUUUUAUUUGAUUAAAGUAAAUUUGAUCACUAAAUUCAAAAAAUUGUCGUAUAUGGCCAAUUGUUUGGCAUAUACGUAUAUUUCAUUAUAAUGUAAUUGAUAAUUAUCAAUGAAAAAUUUAUAAUCUUUAUUUUAUAUUACUUGUAAAUAAAUAAAUAACUUAUCUGUCAUAAGAUGUAAACUGUUCAACACAACUUCUUAUUAUUUAUAUAUAUGUCAAUUUAUCCAUUGUUAAAUAUGCUAUCUCAAUAUAAUAAUUAUGUAAUGUAUAAUUAAAUACAAUAAUCUAAAAAGAUCACUAAAAGCGCUGAC